rnacentral:rRNA from 1 species
UACGAAGGGGGCUAGCGUUGUCCGGAAUUAUUGGGCGUAAAGCGCACGUAGGCGGCUUUGUAAGUUAGAGGUGAAAGCCCGGGGCUCAACUCCGGAAUUGCCUUUAAGACUGCAUCGCUAGAAUUGUGGAGAGGUAAGUGGAAUUCCGAGUGUAGAGGUGAAAUUCGUAGAUAUUCGGAAGAACACCAGUGGCGAAGGCGACUUACUGGACACAUAUUGACGCUGAGGUGCGAAAGCGUGGGGAGCAAACAGG